rnacentral:rRNA from 1 species
GACGUAGGGCGCGAGCGUUGUCCGGAUUUAUUGGGCGUAAAGAGCUCGUAGGCGGUUUGUCGCGUCGUCCGUGAAAACUCACAGCUUAACUGUGAGCUUGCGGUCGAUACGGGCAGGCUAGAGUUCGGUAGGGGAGACUGGAAUUCCUGGUGUAGCGGUGAAAUGCGCAGAUAUCAGGAGGAACACCGGUGGCGAAGGCGGGUCUCUGGGACGGUACUGACGCUGAGACGCGAAAGCGUGGGGAGCGAACAGG